ACGCGUGGGUAACCUGCCCUGUACAGGGGGAGUAACAGUCAGAAAUGACUGCUAAUACCGCAUAAGACCACAGCACCGCAUGGUGCAGGGGUAAAAACUACCGGUGGUACAGGAUGGACCCGCGUCUGAUUAGCUGGUUGGUGAGGUAACGGCUCACCAAGGCGACGAUCAGUAGCCGGCUUGAGAGAGUGAACGGCCACAUUGGGACUGAGACACGGCCCAAACUCCUACGGGAGGCAGCAUG
rnacentral:rRNA from 1 species